rnacentral:misc_RNA from 1 species
AAGUCGUAACAAGGUUUCCGUAGGCCUGGUAAAUCAUCGCCGAACAGUUUUCGAUUCAGGGACGUCUGCAAGGAGCGUGCAUGUUGUGCGAAGCAAGUGGCCUGGCAUCCCCAAGCAGUUAGUGUCUGAAAGUGUCAUUACCUGUGUAAGGAUGACGCAGUCACGAUCGUUGGAGGCCCACACGGCCGACGACCGGGUCGCCAAUCGCGGCCGCGAUAAUACGCAGUCGACCAAAAACCGAACAAUGGAUAUCUUGGUUCUC